UGGGGAAUAUUGCGCAAUGGGGGGAACCCUGACGCAUCCAUGCCGCGUGAAUGAAGAAGGCCUUAGGGUUGUAAAGUUCUUUCGGUAUUGAGGAAGGUUGAUGUGUUAAUAGCACAUCAAAUUGACGUUAAAUACAGAAGAAGCACCGGCUAACUCCGUGCCAUCAGCCGCGGUAAUACGGAGGGUGCGAGCGUUAAUCGGAAUAACUGGGCGUAAAGGGCACGCAGGCGGUUAUUUAAGUGAGGUGUGAAAGCCCUGGGCUUAACCUAGGAAUUGCAUUUCAGACUGGGUAACUAGAGUACUUUAGGGAGGGGUAGAAUUCCACGUGUAGCGGUGAAAUGCGUAGAGAUGUGGAGGAAUACCGAAGGCGAAGGCAGCCCCUUGGGAAUGUACUGACGCUCAUGUGCGAAAGCGUGGGGAGCAAACAGGAUUAAAUACCCUGGUAGUCCACGCUGUAAACGCUGUCGAUUUGGGGGUUGGGGUUUAACUCUGGCGCCCGUAGCUAACGUGAUAAAUCGACCGCCUGGGGAGUACGGCCGCAAGGUUA
rnacentral:rRNA from 1 species